AAUAGACCGAGAGCUUCUGAAAUUUAACAGGCACAUGAAUGUUCUGGAAAACGUGUUACAGUGUGGAUUGCUGGGUCCCCGCUCCAGGAAUUCUGAUCAGGAAGUCUGGGGGAGGGGCUCCCGCGUGAGGCAGAUGCUGCCCUUUAUUGACCUCCCUUGAGUAGCCUUGGCGGAUGAUCUUUAACGCUCCUUCCUGUUCUGCCGUUCAGUGAUUGAAAAUAUUCAAGAGCUCGCGGCCAUUGUGCGCUGAGCCAGGGGCUGGGAAUACAAAACAGAAGAGGUUUCUGCCUUUCGGGCCUAGCAGUGUCAAUGUGGAAACAGACGGGUCCUUGCCUUGCUUCUCCAGAGAUGACGGCCUGGCUGGGCCGCACCCUGCAGGCGCUCUUCCCCAGCGCAGAUGCCCUGCUGUGUCCUGACAGUCCCGCGUUACCCUCGAUCUGAAGGUGUGGAUAAUUAAGAAAGCCAGCUUCGAAGAUGUUGGCGUUACAAGAUGGAAGGUGUUGAGGUCCCUGAGUCAUGUCUUGGAGAAGAGCUGCCCAGCAGAGCUGUCCAUUUGCAUACAACUGUGGUGUGAGCAGAAAAUAAAACUUAAUGCCACUCUGGUUUGGUGUUGUUUGUUGCAGCAGUUAAUGUUCAUUAUCUAUCUUGAUGCAUUUGUAUUACAUGGC
rnacentral:lncRNA from 10 species